AGUGAACGCUGGCGGUAGGCCUAACACAUGCAAGUCGAACGGCAGCACAGUAAGAGCUUGCUCUUACGGGUGGCGAGUGGCGGACGGGUGAGGAAUACAUCGGAAUCUACUUUUUCGUGGGGGAUAACGUAGGGAAACUUACGCUAAUACCGCAUACGACCUACGGGUGAAAGCAGGGGAUCUUCGGACCUUGCGCGAUUGAAUGAGCCGAUGUCGGAUUAGCUAGUUGGCGGGGUAAAGGCCCACCAAGGCUACGAUCCGUAGCUGGGCUGAGAGGAUGGUGCGCCACGAUAGAACUGAGACACGGACCAGACCCCUACGGGAGGCACCAGUGGAGAACAUUGGAGUAUAGGCGCAAGCCUGUUCCAGCCAUGCCGAGUGAGUGAAGAAGGCCUUCGGGUUGUAAAACCGUUUUGUUGCGAAAGAAAAGCAGCAGGAUAAUACCCCGCUGUUCUGACGGUACCCAAUGUAUAAGCACCGGCUAACUUCGUG
rnacentral:rRNA from 1 species